rnacentral:rRNA from 1 species
UACACAUGCAGUCGAGCGGCAGCGAAAGAAAGUUUACUUUCUUGUCGGCGAGCGGCAAACGGGUGAGUAAUAUCUGGGGAUCUGCCUAAAAGAGGGGGACAACCGUUGGAAACGAUGGCUAAUACCGCAUAAUGUUGAAAAACCAAAGUAGGGGACUUUUUUAAAGCCUUACACUUUUAGAUGAACCCAGACGAGAUUAGCUUGAUGGUAAGGUAAAGGCUUACCAAGGCGAUGAUCUCUAGCUGGUCUUAGAGGACAACCAGCCACACUGGAACUGAGACACGGUCCAGACUCCUACGGGAGGCAGCAGUGGGGAAUCUUGCACAAUGGGCGAAAGCCUGAUGCAGCUAUGCCGCGUGUAUGAAGAAGGCCUUAGGGUUGUAAAGUACUUUCGUCAGGGAAGAAAGAAAAAUAACUAAUAAUUAUUUUUUGUGACGUUACCUGAAAAAGAAGCACCGGCUAACUCCGUGCCAGCAGCCGCGGUAAUACGGAGGGUGCAAGCGUUAAUCAGAAUUACUGGGCGUAAAGAGCACGUAGGUGGAUUUUUAAGUUAGAUGUGAAAUCCCUGGGCUCAACCUAGGAACUGCAUUUAAAACUAAUUAUCUAGAGUAUCGUAGAGGGAGGUAGAAUUCCAGGUGUAGCGGUGAAAUGCGUAGAUAUCUGGAGGAAUACCUGUGGCGAAAGCGACCUCCUAGACGAAUACUGACACUGAGGUGCGAAAGCGUGGGUAGCAAACAGGAUUAGAUACCUGGUAGUCCAUGCGUAAACGAUGUCGACUUGGAGGUUGUUUCCUUGAGAAAUGGCUUCCGAAGCUAACGCAUUAAGUCGACCGCCUGGGAAGUACGGUCGCAAGG